rnacentral:ncRNA from 1 species
GUAUGUAUGUAUGUAUGUAUGUAUGUAUGUAUGUAUGUAUGUAUGUAUGUAUGUAUGUAUGUAUGUAUGUAUGUAUGUAUGUAUGUAUGUAUGUAUGUAUGUAUAAACUAUUAGGGACAAGGGUAAUCUGACUGUUUAAUUAAAACAAAGCAUUACGAUAGUCCCUGCAGAUGUUGACACAACAUGAUUUAUGCCCAUUGCUUUGCAUGCCAAAGUGAGGAAAUUCAACCAAGCGCGGGUAAACAAUGAGAGUAACUAUGUAUGUAUGUAUGUAUAAACUAUUAGGGACAAGGGGAAUCCGACUGUUUAAUUAAAACAAAGCAUUACGAUGGUCCUUGCAGAUGUUGACACAACAUGAUUUAUGCCCAUUGCUUUGCAUGUCAAAGUGAGGAAAUUCAACCAAGCGCGGGUAAACAAUGAGAGUAAUUAUGACUCUCUUAAGGUAGCCAGAUGCCUUGUCAUCUAAUUAGUGGCACGCAUGAAUGGAUUAAUGAGAUUCCCAUUGUCCCUAGCUAUUAUCUAGAGAAACCACAUCCAAGGGAACGGGCUUGG